rnacentral:rRNA from 1 species
UGAAUACGAGACGCUAAGGCGUCGAAGUAGUGUAUGUCAUACUUCCAAGAAAAGCUUGCACUGUCAUAGAUAAAAAACGCCUGUACCAUAACCGACACAGGUGGGUAGGUAGAGUAUACUAAGGGGCGCGAGAUAACUCUCUCUAAGGAACUCGGCAAAAUAACUCCGUAACUUCGGGAGAAGGAGUGCCUUAUUCGUAAGGUUGCAAUAACAAGAUCCAAGCAACUGUUUAUCAAAAACACAGGUCUCCGCUAAGUCGUAAGACGAUGUAUGGGGGCUGACGCCUGCCCAGUGCCAGAAGGUUAAAGAAGUUGGUUAGCAAUUGCGAAGCUGAUAACUGAAGCCCUGGUGAACGGCGGCCGUAACUAUAACGGUCCUAAGGUAGCGAAAUUCCUUGUCGGGUAAGUUCCGACCCGCACGAAAGGCGUAAUGAUUUGGAUACUGUCUCGGAGAGGGGCUCGGUGAAAUAGACUUGUCUGUGAAGAUGCGGACUACCUGCACCAGGACAGAAAGACCCUAUGAAGCUUUACUGUAACUUGAAAUUGAAAUUGGACUUUAUUCGCGCAGUAUAGGUGGGAGGCGUUGAUUAUAAUCUUGUGGGAUUAUUGGAGCCAUCAGUGAGAUACCACUCUUGUAAUGUUAGAUUUCUAACUUUGAAUCAUUAUCUGGUCAAAGAACAGUUUCAGGCGGGCAGUUUGACUGGGGCGGUCGCCUCCUAAACGGUAACGGAGGCGUACAAAGGUUUCCUCUGAACGGUUAGAAAUCGUAUCUAGAGUGUAAAGGCAUAAGGAAGCUUGACUGUGAGACCUACAAGUCGAGCAGGGACGAAAGUCGGUCUUAGUGAUCUGACGGUACUGAGUGGAAAGGCCGUCACUCAACGGAUAAAAGUUACUCUAGGAUAACAGGCUGAUCUCCCCCAAGAGUUCACAUCGACGGGGAGGUUUGGCACCUCGAUGUCGGCUCAUCGCAUCCUGGGGCGGUAGUACGUCCCAAGGGUUGGGCUGUUCGCCCAUGAAAGCGGUACGCGAGCUGGGUUCAGAACGUCGUGAGACAGUUCGGUCCAUAUCCGGUGUAGGCGUUAGAAUAUUGAGAGGAGCCUUCUUUAGUACGAGAGGACCGAGAAGGACAUACCUCUGGUGUACCAGUUAUCGUGCCAACGGUAAACGCUGGGUAGCUAUGUAUGGAGUGGAUAACCGCUGAAAGCAUCUAAGUGGGAAGACCACCUCAAGAUAAGUAUUCUC